rnacentral:rRNA from 1 species
UACGUAGGGUCCAAGCGUUGUCCGGAUUUAUUGGGCGUAAAGAGCUCGUAGGCGGUUCCGUAAGUCGGAUGUGAAAACUCGGGGCUCAACCCCGAGACGCCAUCCGAUACUGCGGUGACUUGAGUCUGGUAGGGGAACACGGAAUUCCUGGUGUAGCGGUGAAAUGCGCAGAUAUCAGGAGGAACGCCAAUGGUGAAAACAGGUAGCUGGGGCUGUACUGACACUGAGACACGAAAGCCAGGGGAGCAAACGGG